rnacentral:rRNA from 1 species
GACGAACGCUGGCGGCGUGCUUAACACAUGCAAGUCGAACGGUAAGGCCCUUCGGGGUACACGAGUGGCGAACGGGUGAGUAACACGUGGGUGAUCUGCCCUGCACUUCGGGAUAAGCCUGGGAAACUGGGUCUAAUACCGGAUAGGACUCCGGACUGCAUGGUCUGGGGUGGAAAGCUUUUGCGGUGUGGGAUGGGCCCGCGGCCUAUCAGCUUGUUGGUGGGGUGAUGGCCUACCAAGGCGAAGACGGGUAGCCGGCCUGAGAGGGUGACCGGCCACACUGGGAAUGAGAUCCGGCCCAGACUCCUACGGGAGGCAGCAGUGGGGAAUAUUGCACAAUGGGCGCAAGCCUGAUGCAGCGACGCCGCGUGAGGGAUGACGGCCUUCGGGUUGUAAACCUCUUUCAGCAUCGACGAAGCGAAAGUGACGGUAGGUGCAGAAGAAGGACCGGCCAACUACGUGCCAGCAGCCGCAGUAA